rnacentral:rRNA from 1 species
UACAGAGGUCUCAAGCGUUGUUCGGAUUCAUUGGGCGUAAAGGGGUGUGUAGGUGGCGCGCGUAAGUCGGGAUGUGAAAUUUCGGAGCUUAACUCCGAAACUGCAUUCGAUACUGGCGUGCUUGAGGACUGGAGAGGAGACUGGAAUUCAUGGUGUAGCAGUGAAAUGCGUAGAGAUCAUGAGGAAGACCAGUGGCGAAGGCGGGUCUCUGGACAGUUCCUGACACUGAGACACGAAGGCUAGGGGAGCAAACGGG